CGGCACGGGUGGGUAACACGUAUGCAACCUGCCUGCCACAGCCGGAUAAUCGGGAGAAAUUCCGUCUAAUACGGCAUAAUGCAUCGACGGGACAUCCUGUUGGUGCCAAAGGUUAAUUCCGGUGGCGGAUGGGCAUGCGUCGCAUUAGUUAGUUGGCGGUGUAACGGACCACCAAGACGACGAUGCGUAGGGGUUCUGAGAGGAAGGUCCCCCACACUGGUACUGAGACACGGACCAGACUCCUACGGGAGGCAGCAG
rnacentral:rRNA from 1 species